UUAAGCGACUAAGCGUACACGGUGGAUGCCCUGGCAGUCAGAGGCGAUGAAGGACGUGCUAAUCUGCGAAAAGCGUCGGUAAGGUGAUAUGAACCGUUAUAACCGGCGAUGUCCGAAUGGGGAAACCCAGUGCAAUUCGUUGCACUAUCGUUAACUGAAUACAUAGGUUAACGAGGCGAACCGGGGGAACUGAAACAUCUAAGUACCCCGAGGAAAAGAAAUCAACCGAGAUUCCCCCAGUAGCGGCGAGCGAACGGGGAGCAGCCCAGAGUCUGAAUCAGCUUGUGUGUUAGUGGAACGGUCUGGAAAGUCCGACGGUACAGGGUGAUAGUCCCGUACACCAAAAUGCACAGGUUGUGAACUCGAAGAGUAGGGCGGGACACGUGGUAUCCUGUCUGAAUAUGGGGGGACCAUCCUCCAAGGCUAAAUACUCCUGACUGACCGAUAGUGAACCAGUACCGUGAGGGAAAGGCGAAAAGAACCCCGGCGAGGGGAGUGAAAAAGAACCUGAAACCGUGUACGUACAAGCAGUGGGAGCACCUUCGGGUGUGACUGCGUACCUUUUGUAUAAUGGGUCAGCGACUUAUAUUCUGUAGCAAGGUUAACCGUAUAGGGGAGCCGCAGGGAAACCGAGUCUUAACUGGGCGUUAAGUUGCAGGGUAUAGACCCGAAACCCGGUGAUCUAGCCAUGGGCAGGUUGAAGGUUGGGUAACACUAACUGGAGGACCGAACCGACUAAUGUUGAAAAAUUAGCGGAUGACUUGUGGCUGGGGGUGAAAGGCCAAUCAAACCGGGAGAUAGCUGGUUCUCCCCGAAAGCUAUUUAGGUAGCGCCUCGUGAACUCAUCUUCGGGGGUAGAGCACUGUUUCGGCUAGGGGGUCAUCCCGACUUACCAACCCGAUGCAAACUACGAAUACCGAAGAAUGUUAUCACGGGAGACACACGGCGGGUGCUAACGUCCGUCGUGAAGAGGGAAACAACCCAGACCGCCAGCUAAGGUCCCAAAGUCAUGGUUAAGUGGGAAACGAUGUGGGAAGGCACAGACAGCCAGGAUGUUGGCUUAGAAGCAGCCAUCAUUUAAAGAAAGCGUAAUAGCUCACUGGUCGAGUCGGCCUGCGCGGAAGAUGUAACGGGGCUAAACCAUGCACCGAAGCUGCGGCAGCGACACUAUGUGUUGUUGGGUAGGGGAGCGUUCUGUAAGCCUGCGAAGGUGUGCUGUGAGGGUUGCUGGAGGUAUCAGAAGUGCGAAUGCUGACAUAAGUAACGAUAAAGCGGGUGAAAAGCCCGCUCGCCGGAAGACCAAGGGUUCCUGUCCAACGUUAAUCGGGGCAGGGUGAGUCGACCCCUAAGGCGAGGCCGAAAGGCGUAGUCGAUGGGAAACAGGUUAAUAUUCCUGUACUUGGUGUUACUGCGAAGGGGGGACGGAGAAGGCUAUGUUAGCCGGGCGACGGUUGUCCCGGUUUAAGCAUGUAGGCUGGUUAUCCAGGCAAAUCCGGAUAAUCAAGGCUGAGGUGUGAUGACGAGGCACUACGGUGCUGAAGUAACAAAUGCCCUGCUUCCAGGAAAAGCCUCUAAGCAUCAGGUAACAUCAAAUCGUACCCCAAACCGACACAGGUGGUCAGGUAGAGAAUACCAAGGCGCUUGAGAGAACUCGGGUGAAGGAACUAGGCAAAAUGGUGCCGUAACUUCGGGAGAAGGCACGCUGGUGUGUAGGUGAAGUCCCUGCGGAUGGAGCUGAGACCAGUCGAAGAUACCAGCUGGCUGCAACUGUUUAUUAAAAACACAGCACUGUGCAAACACGAAAGUGGACGUAUACGGUGUGACGCCUGCCCGGUGCCGGAAGGUUAAUUGAUGGGGUUAUCCGUAAGGAGAAGCUCUUGAUCGAAGCCCCGGUAAACGGCGGCCGUAACUAUAACGGUCCUAAGGUAGCGAAAUUCCUUGUCGGGUAAGUUCCGACCUGCACGAAUGGCGUAAUGAUGGCCAGGCUGUCUCCACCCGAGACUCAGUGAAAUUGAACUCGCUGUGAAGAUGCAGUGUACCCGCGGCAAGACGGAAAGACCCCGUGAACCUUUACUAUAGCUUGACACUGAACAUUGAGCCUUGAUGUGUAGGAUAGGUGGGAGGCUUUGAAGCGUGGACGCCAGUCUGCGUGGAGCCAACCUUGAAAUACCACCCUUUAAUGUUUGAUGUUCUAACGUUGGCCCCUGACCGGGGUUGCGGACAGUGUCUGGUGGGUAGUUUGACUGGGGCGGUCUCCUCCCAAAGCGUAACGGAGGAGCACGAAGGUUAGCUAAUCCUGGUCGGACAUCAGGAGGUUAGUGCAAUGGCAUAAGCUAGCUUGACUGCGAGCGUGACGGCGCGAGCAGGUGCGAAAGCAGGUCAUAGUGAUCCGGUGGUUCUGAAUGGAAGGGCCAUCGCUCAACGGAUAAAAGGUACUCCGGGGAUAACAGGCUGAUACCGCCCAAGAGUUCAUAUCGACGGCGGUGUUUGGCACCUCGAUGUCGGCUCAUCACAUCCUGGGGCUGAAGUAGGUCCCAAGGGUAUGGCUGUUCGCCAUUUAAAGUGGUACGCGAGCUGGGUUUAGAACGUCGUGAGACAGUUCGGUCCCUAUCUGCCGUGGGCGCUGGAGAAUUGAGGGGGGCUGCUCCUAGUACGAGAGGACCGGAGUGGACGCAUCACUGGUGUUCGGGUUGUCAUGCCAAUGGCACUGCCCGGUAGCUAAAUGCGGAAGAGAUAAGUGCUGAAAGCAUCUAAGCACGAAACUUGCCCCGAGAUGAGUUCUCCCUGAGACUAUAAGUCUCCUGAAGGAACGUUAAAGACGAUGACGUUGAUAGGCCGGGUGUGUAAGCGCAGCGAUGCGUUGAGCUAACCGGUACUAAUGAACCGUGAGGCUUAACCUU
rnacentral:rRNA from 1 species